UUUGUUCUUCAAAACCUGUUUAUCAAGCCUUACCCAGGUCCUCCUCCCCCGAGUCACGUACUCAGGAAAUGGCUUUUCGGCCCUUACAGUGUAAGAAGUUUGGCUGCGUCUUGAGGCUUUGAGAUGUUCACACAUGCAUGUCUGAGACCUUUCCAUCACUCCUGAGGGGAUGGAGCCAGAGCUGGUAUGAAAAGAGGGUCCCCAAAGCCCUGGAGCAAAUAACCGUCCAUACUGAAAGCAAAAUAGAAUCGGUUUGUUUUCUUGUUUUUUAUGAUUCAAAUGAACUGGAAGAGAAGGAAAGAACCAGAAAACAGAAAUGUCUCUUAUUUAAUCCCUGAUUACUUGAACCAUUGUUCAAAGUUCCCAAAGCCUGACUUUGGGAACACACCUGCAUCAUGGCUCAGCAGAACUGACCUAGACUGAUUCAAUGAGAUGGAAGGUUCAUCGCCUCAAUUUAAUGUGAAACUUCCAGGGAAGUUUCAGAGAAUGGAACUGCAAGGACCAAGGGCAGGCUGUCCCCAGUAUGUGCCACUUUGACGUGCAGAUUAUUUUGAGCAGAAAACCAUCAAGGCCCAAAAGACUCAGGAAGAUAACUUUGACUUUUCCCCACCUCCAACUGCAUAAAAAGAAGUUAGGUGGAGGAACUACUCCAGGAGGAGAGCUAUCACCAUGGAUAAAUAUAUUAUAAUGUAAACCAGUCCAGUGGUGAUAGACAGGAAGAAAGGUGCAAAAUCUGAUAAAAUUUCUCUUUGUGCUCCAUUUCUUCUGAGUGGACCACAGAGUAUUUUAUCAAACAUUUACUCUUUUAAUAUUUCUCUGAAUUACUUCCCUUUUCCUUUGAAGUAUCAGGCCCCUACUUCCAUUCCAUGGCCAGGAUCCUCACCUGAUCCUAAUCUACUCACCCACUGUGCAUGUGUAAUGAUGUAAUAUUUGGCCUACUGUGAAGGUGCAUGCUUGCAUGUUGGCAAUAAGACAUUAUUGCCUGUGUUGCUAUAUAAAGAGAUACACCCAGUGCUCAGUGCAGAGCCUGGAGUGGAGGCAAAGAUGGAGAGACAGACUUGCUGUAUGCUGACUUGCCCAAUGUUGAUUCUAGCACUCAACCCACCAUCACAAGAAUAAAGCUUGAUGUAAGACCUUUUACCCCAAAAUGUUCCAUUGUUGUUAUUUGGUCUCAUCGAAUCUGGAGUGAACUUGCCUGAAGCUGGGAACCCCUCUGGCUCAGAGCUACACCUACCAACUUCUUGGUUCAGGAUGACAUUUAAACCUCAUUCUCCCUGACUGUUGGGAAUCCAUGUCUACAGCUUCCCCAUAUAUAUGUAAUUAAAUUUCAAUUUUUUCCCUUGCUAAUCUGCUUCAUGUCAAUCUAAUUCUUAGAUAAGCUAGAAAAACCUCAAGGGGCAGAAGAAAUUUCUUCUUCCCCAACACCUCCCUGGCAAAAGGAUUAUUUUGCACUGAUUAUUUUAAGAAAGGGUGGACAGAGGAGAAGCUCUGAAGAAUAGAAGUUACCCUUCUGUAAGUUACUUUAUUUAUAAAGUAACUUUUAAGGAAGUUUUCCUCUUAGUACCAAGAAAAGAAGGUUGACACUAAAUCAAAACAGAAUUUCAUCAAUGGUGAAGGCCCUGACUUAAGUCUGUGUAACAAACCUGAUCCUUGUUCAUGGUGCUUUGCUUUUCUGGGUCAACUCCCUGUCACUGGCCUCCUCACACCUUCCUUUGUUUUUAGCUGAAGGUGGUAUUUAAGCCUACAUUUUAAACCAUUUCUUUGAGAAUUAUUCAUUUCCCUUUGUGUCUCCCAUGUACACGAGAUCUACAUAUUAAUAAACUUGAUUAUUUUUCUCUUGUUAUUCUGGCUUUUGUUACCUGGGGCUCCUAUGGAGGCCUUAGAAGGUAGAGGAAAAUUAUUUUCUGUAACCAUAUAUAGGUACCUUUCCAAAGUGUGGCAGGGAAGUCAACCUGUGUGGUUGUUGGGGAGCCCUACUGGGAGUCAAAAUGGUAUUCAUGCCUGCUUAAGGCUUGGGCCACUGGGGAAGCAGAGGGAAACAUCGACUUAGCUUACUUGCUUGUUUUUAGCAUGUUUCGUUGAGAAUCUCAGAGGAUUAGAAAAGACAGACU